AGUGAACGCUGGCGGCAGGCCUAACACAUGCAAGUCGAGCGGCAGCGCGGGGGCAACCCUGGCGGCGAGCGGCGGACGGGUGAGGAAUGCGUCGGAAUCUGCCUCUUUGUGGGGGAUAACGUAGGGAAACUUACGCUAAUACCGCAUACGACCUACGGGUGAAAGUGGGGGACCUUCGGGCCUCACGCAGAGAGAUGAGCCGACGCCGGAUUAGCUAGUUGGCGGGGUAAAGGCCCACCAAGGCGACGAUCCGGAGCUGGUCUGAGAGGAUGAUCAGCCACACUGGAACUGAGACACGGUCCAGACGCCUACGGGAGGCAGCAGUGGGGAAUAUUGGACAAUGGGCGCAAGCCUGAUCCAGCCAUGCCGCGUGUGUGAAGAAGGCCUUCGGGUUGUAAAGCACUUUUGUCCGGAAAGAAAAGCUUCCGAUUAAUACUCGGGAGUCAUGACGGUACCGGAAGAAUAAGCACCGGCUAACUUCGUGCCAGCCGCCGCGGUAAUAC
rnacentral:rRNA from 1 species